rnacentral:rRNA from 1 species
CCUGGCAUCUACAGGGGGAUAACUGAUGGAAACGUCAGCUAAGACCGCAUAGGUGUAGAGAUCGCAUGAACUCUAUAUGAAAAGUGCUACGGGACUGGUAGAUGAUGGACUUAUGGCGCAUUAGCUGGUUGGUAGGGUAACGGCCUACCAAGGCGACGAUGCGUAGCCGACCUGAGAGGGUGACCGGCCACACUGGGACUGAGACACGGCCCAGACUCCUACGGGAGGCAGCAGUAGGGAAUUUUCGGCAAUGGGGGAAACCCUGACCGAGCAACGCCGCGUGAAGGAAGAAGUAAUUCGUUAUGUAAACUUCUGUCAUAGAGGAAGAACGGUGGAUAUAGGGAAUGAUAUCCAAGUGACGGUACUCUAUAAGAAAGCCACGGCUAACUACGUGCCAGCAGCCGCGGUAAUACGUAGGUGGCGAGCGUUAUCCGGAAUUAUUGGGCGUAAAGAGGGAGCAGGCGGCACUAAGGGUCUGUGGUGAAAGAUCGAAGCUUAACUUCGGUAAGCCAUGGAAACCGUAGAGCUAGAGUGUGUGAGAGGAUCGUGGAAUUCCAUGUGUAGCGGUGAAAUGCGUAGAUAUAUGGAGGAACACCAGUGGCGAAGGCGACGAUCUGGCGCAUAACUGACGCUCAGUCCCGAAAGCGUGGGGAGCAAAUAGGAUUAGAUACCCUAGUAGUCCACGCCGUAAACGAUGAGUACUAAGUGUUGGGAGUCAAAUCUCAGUGCUGCAG